CUACACUGUGUCUGUGGGUUGUAGGUGACUACACUGUGUCUGUGGGUUGUAGGUGACUAUUCUGUGGGUUGUAGGUGACUACACUGUGGGUUGUAGGUGACUACACUGUGGGUUGUAGGUGACUACACUGUGCGUUGUAGGUGACUACACUGUGGGUUGUAGUUGACUACACUGUGCGUUGUUGGUGACUACACUGUGUCUGUGGGUUGUUGGUGACUACACUGUGGGUUGUAGGUGACUACACUGUGUCUGUGGGUUGUAGGUGACUAUUCUGUGUCUGUGGGUUGUAGGUGACUACUCUGUGGGUUGUAGGUGACUACACUGUGGGUUGUAGGUGACUACACUGUGGGUUGUAGGUGACUACACUGUGGGUUGUAGGUGACUACACUGUGGGUUGUAGGUGACUACACUGUGGGUUGUAGGUGACUACACUGUGGGUUGUUGGUGACUACACUGUCUGGGUUGUAGGUGACUAUUCUGUGUCUGGGUUGUAGGUGACUACUCUGUGUCUGUGGGUUGUAGGUGACUACACUGUGUCUGUGGGUUGUAGGUGACUACUCUGUGUCUUUGGGUUGUAGGUGACUACACUGUGGGUUGUAGGUGACUACACUGUGGGUUGUUGGUGACUACACUGUCUGGGUUGUAGGUGACUAUUCUGUGUCUGGGUUGUAGGUGACUACACUGUGUCUGUGGGUUGUAGGUGACUACACUGUGUCUGUGGGUUGUAGGUGACUACACAGUGUCUGUGGGUUGUAGGUGACUACACUGUCUGUGGGUUGUAGGUGACUACUCUGUGUCUUUGAGGCAAAAUGUGCUGACUGUGAUAUGUGGUUGUCCCACCUAGCUAUCUGGAGAUGAAUGUACUGACUAUGACUGGUCCACCUACCCAUCUGGAGAUGAAUGUACUAACUGUGACUGGUCCACCUAGCUAUCUGAUGAAUGUACUGACUAUGACUGGUCCACCUACCUAUCUGAUGAAUGUACUGACUAUGACUGGUCCACCUACCUAUCUGGAGAUGAAUGUACUAACUGUGACUGGUCCACAUAGCUAUCUGGAGAUGAAUGUAUGGACUAUGACUGGUCCACAUAGCUAUGUGGUAUAGCUUGUGGUUCUAUAGUCUGUCCUGUUGUCAGUCAGUGGUUCUAUAGUCUGUCCUGUUGUCAGUCAGUGGUUCUAUAGUCUGUCCUGUUGUCAGUCAGUGGUUCUAUAGUCUAUAGGUUGGGAACCCCCAGGCGUUUCAGAUUUGUUUUAGCCCUGAGCUGGUUCACCCUUUAGAGUGUGUGUGUGCGUAUGUGUGUGUGUGUGUGUGUGUGUGUGUGUGUGUGUGUGUGUGCGUAUGUGUGUGCGUAUGUGUGUGCGUAUGUGUGUGUGUGUGUGCGUAUGUGUGUGCGUAUGUGUGUGUGUGUGUGUGUGUGUGUGCGUGCGCGUGUGUGUGUGUGUGUGUGCACGCGUGCGUGUUAUGCUGGGUGGAACAGCACACAGCCUGACAGAGGUAGGCCUUUCUAGCUGCCGUUCUCGAUUGCAAAAUACCAAAUAAAUAUUUUGCUUCCAACAGCCUCUUUCUCCCAUCUGUGUCACAAACCAUCCCAGUAUGUGAAGCUAACGACUACCUCUUCUUUUCAAGAGCAACGUUAAUAAAAAUAUAGAUUUUCUCUCUGUGGAGAAACAAGUACUUCACAGAUUCUGCUAAUGCCUGCUCCAAACCGUCUCUAGUGACUGCUCCUAACCGUCUCUAGUGACUGC
ensembl:lncRNA